GUGCCCUUUUAAGGUUGACGCAGUGCCUUAAGAGGCUAACACAGAAGGGUAAAGAAAGUCUCCAUAAAA
rnacentral:snoRNA from 1 species